CCAUUCCUAAGAAUCCUUUUUUUCUUUUUUGCCUUUUGUUUUUUGUUUGUUUUAAAUUGGCUUAUUUUUUGCAUUCUUACACGACAAAUAAGGCAAAGGUGGUAUUUUUAAACCAUUGUCCUCAAUCUCGACCUUUUAGAGGCUUAGGCAAUAGCUGCUAUACUUGCGAGAGGAGUCUGCAAGACCCAUAUAUUUUCUGCUCUCUUUUCUGCAAGGUGCAGCAUCUGGUGAGAGAGGAAGGCGGGCUGUUGAAAUACCUCCGCGACUGUGAAUUCCUACCAUUCCCGGAAGAGGAAGGCUGGCGACGGACCACUGUUUUCUGUAUACGGGUAAAAUGCCAGGACAGGUUAUUUAACAUGAUCAUUGAUGACAACAAUGCAAUGAACAUUGUUUCUCAAGAGAUGAUUGAUAAGCUCAAAUUACCAACUGAAAGGCAUCCAAAACCAUAUAAGGUUGCGUGGGUCGACAACACUGCCAUCCCCGUGAGUGUUUGGUAUCAUUUAAAAUUGGCAUAUAUGAUGAUGAUAUUUGGUGUGACAUAAUUCCGAUGAAUGUCACCCACAUCCUUCUCGGUCGACCUUGGCUCUUUGACCUAAAGGUACAAAGUGACGGUGAAGCUAAUACGCAUACUUUCCUAUGAUGAGAUCAUUGUAUCCUUCUUUGCCUGUUGCACCCUGUGUCACCUUCAUCCAUGCCUUCAUCAUCGACAUUGGUUGCUCUUUCAAACUCCCAUGUUCUCACCAUGCGGAAGUUUGAACAAGAGAGCAAGGAGAAAGGCGUAAUGUUCACCCUAGUCACAAAAUAGAUGCAAGAGCCUAUUAUUGACUAGGAUGACCCUAUUCCUGAUGAAAUCAAAUCUAUGUUGCAUGACUUCCAAGAUUUGGUCCCCAAUGAUCUGCCUGAGGAGUUGCCUCCAUUGCGGGAUAUUCAGCACGCUAUAGGUUUGCUUCCCGAAGAAUCCUUCCCCAACUUACCUGCAUACCAGAUGAGUCCCGUCGAGCAUGCUGAGUUGAAGCAUCAGGUUGACGAGUUGCUUAAAAAGGGUCACAUCUGAGAGAACUUAAGUCCAUGUGCAGUGUUAGCCCUCCUUACUCCCAAGAAGGAUGGAAGUUGGUGCAUGUGUGUAGACAACAGAGCUAUUACUAAAAUCACAGUGAAAUACUGUUUCUCCAUUCCUCGGCUUAAUGAUGUGUUGGGCUUGAUGCCAGGUGCUAGCGUCUUCUCCAAGAUUGAUCUUCACAAUGGAUACCACCAGAUUCACAUCCGACCUGGUGACGAAUGGAAGACGACAUUUAAGACGAAGGACAGUCUUACGACUGGCUGGUUAUGCCAUUCGGUCUCACAAACACGCCUAGCACUUUCAUGCGUGUCAUGACCUAGUUGUUGCUAUCUAUUUUGACAAUUUUCUUAUCUAUAGUAACUCAGUAUGUAUAGAAAGGAGCAUCCCAAUCACCUAAAUCUUCUCUUUAGAGGCCUUUGUUGUGAGCGUUUUUUCAUUAACUUUAAAGAGUGUACCUUCAUGAGUACAUCAAUGGCCUUCUUAGGGUACAUUGUCUCGUCGCAAGGUGUCGAGGUGGACCCUGCCAAGGUGAAAGUCAUUGUUGAUUGGCCGACACCUACCACUAUCUCUGAAGUUCGGAGUUUCCAUGGCCUCACUACAUUUUAUAGACGUUUUGUAUGGAACUUUAGCAACAUCAUGGCCCUGAUCAUCGAUUGUAUGAAACACAAGGAGUUUCGAUGGUCAAGUGCAGCAAGACAACCAUUUGAUAGAAUCAAAUGUAAGAUGACUGAUGCUCCAGUCUUGCGCCUUCCGAACUUUGAGAAGGUAUUUGAGGUGAUUUGUGACGCCUCUAACAUCCGCAUUGGUGGAGUUCUCAGUUAAGAGGGCCAUCUAAUAGCUUUCUUGAGUGAAAAGCUCUCUGAUGCAAAGCAGUGGUACUCCACUUAUGACUUGGAAUUUUAUGCCGUUGUCCAGACUCAACGGCAUUGGCGUCACUAUUUGGUUGGCAACGAGUUUGUCUUGUAUUCUAAUCAUGGAGCACUCAAGUAUCUAAACUCAACAGAAAAUGAGUGCUCGUCGUUUCAAGUGGAGCGCAUACCUUCAAGAGUUUUCUUUUGUCAUUCGUCACAAGGCUGGUACGAACAAUUAGGUUGUUGAUGCAUUAAGUCGUUGUGUGCAUCUAUUGUAAUCGAUGAUGGUCAUCCUUCUACGAUUUGAAGAGAUAUGGCUUGAGUAUGUGGGUUACAAGGAUUUUGAACAUGUUUAUACAGGCGUUCUUAGUGGAGAGCUUGUGAGACACUCACAUUGCAGCAUUCAUGAUGGUUACUUGUUCUUGGGAACACAACUUUGCCUACCCAAUACAUUCAUCCGCGAGUAUGUUGUGAGGGGGUUACACGCCGGUGAGUGUAGUGGACACUUGAGCCGUGAUAAGACCCUAGCUCUCAUUGGAUAUUGAUACUUUUUGCCUUGUAUAAAAUCAGAUGUUACAAAGAUCUAUUGGUUUUGUAGGGUUUACCAACUUGCUAAGGCUCAAAAGAAAA